rnacentral:rRNA from 1 species
UACGGAGGGUGCAAACGUUGCUCGGAAUUAUUGGGCGUAAAGCGCACGUAGGCGGCCAGACAGGUCCGUUGUGAAAACUAGAGGCUUAACCUCUAGACGUCGAUGGAAACCGUCUGGCUAGAGUCCGGAAGAGGAGAAUGGAAUUCCUGGUGUAGCGGUGAAAUGCGCAGAUAUCAGGAAGAACACCCGUGGCUAAGGCGGUUCUCUAGUACGGUACUGACGCUGAGACGCGAAAGCGUGGGGAGCGAACAGG